rnacentral:rRNA from 1 species
UACGAAGGGGGCUAGCGUUGCUCGGAAUCACUGGGCGUAAAGGGUGCGUAGGCGGGUUCUUAAGUCGGAGGGUGAAAUCCUGGAGCUCAACUCCAGAACUGCCUUUGAUACUGAAGGAUCUUGAGUUCCGGGAGAGGUGAGUGGAACUGCGAGUGUAGAGGUGAAAUUCGUAGAUAUUCGCAAGAACACCAGUGGCGAAGGCGGCUCACUGGCCCGGUACUGACGCUGAGGUGCGAAAGCGUGGGGAGCAAACAGG